GCCCUAUGAGAAAGGUUUGAACCUGAGCC
rnacentral:piRNA from 1 species